UUCCCUACGGGAGGCAGCAGUGGGGAAUAUUGCACAAUGGGGGAAACCCUGAUGCAGCAACGCCGCGUGAGUGAAGAAGUCAUUCGUGAUGUAAAGCUCUAUCAGCAGGGAAGAAAAUGACGGUACCUGACUAAGAAGCCCCGGCUAACUACGUGCCAGCAGCCGCGGUAAUACGUAGGGGGCAAGCGUUAUCCGGAUUUACUGGGUGUAAAGGGAGCGCAGGUGGCAUGGCAAGCCAGAAGUGAAAACCCGGGGCUUAACCCCGCGGAUUGCUUUUGGAACUGUCAGGCUGGAGUGCAGGAGGG
rnacentral:rRNA from 1 species